AGCGAACGCUGGCGGCAGGCCUAACACAUGCAAGUCGAACGAACCUUUCGGGGUUAGUGGCGGACGGGUGAGUAACACGUGGGAACGUGCCUUUAGGUUCGGAAUAACUCAGGGAAACUUGUGCUAAUACCGAAUGUGCCCUUCGGGGGAAAGAUUUAUCGCCUUUAGAGCGGCCCGCGUCUGGUUAGCUAGUUGGUUGAGGUAAUGGCACACCAAGGCGACGAUCAGUAGCUGGUCUGAGAGGAUGAUCAGCCACAUUGGGACUGAGACACGGCCCAAACUCCUACGGGAGGCAGCAGUGGGGAAUAUUGCGCAAUGGGCGAAAGCCUGACGCAGCCAUGCCGCGUGAAUGAUGAAGGUCGUAGGAUUGUAAAAUUCUUUCACCGGGGACGAUAAUGACGGUACCCGGAGAAGAAGCCCCGGCUAACUUCGUG
rnacentral:rRNA from 1 species